AUUCCAGCUCCAAUAGCGUAUAUUAAAGUUGUUGCAGUUAAAAAGCUCGUAGUUGGAUUUCUGGUUUGAUGCCCUGGCCCGCUUCAAAUUUUGGAGUGUGUGCCGGCUGUGCGUCUGCCAUCCUUCUAGAAAACGUUCGUACCCUUCACUGGGCCGCGUUCGAGAUCUAGAUCUUUUACUUUGAAAAAAUUAGAGUGUUUAAAGCAGGCAGUUGCUAUGAAUACAUUAGCAUGGAAUAAUAAUCUAGGCUCUCGAGUGCUACUUUGUUGGUUUAUACACUUAGAGAAUGAUUAACAGGGACAGUUGGGGGUAUUCAUAUUUACAUGUCAGAGGUGAAAUUCUUGGAUUAACGGAAGAUGAACUUCUGCGAAAGCAUCUGCCAAGGAUGUUUUCAUC
rnacentral:rRNA from 1 species